rnacentral:tRNA from 1 species
UCUAAUAUGGCAGACUAGUGCCAUGGAUUUAAGCUCCAUAAAUAAAGAUUUUUCUUUUAUUAGAA